AAUUUACAGCAUAUUAACAGCGUAAAUAUACAGUACUGAACUGUUUUCUAAAAUUACGGUGUCUUACCGUAAAUGCACACGUGAUCGGUGGGAGAGGGGGAACCAAAGGCUAGCUGACGCAUGGAGGAGCAUGGUUUCAGUCAAAGUUUUAUGGAUUUCAUCUCAAGUUGAGGCUCAUUUACAGGAACAUGAAGAUGGACUGGUUUCACAUGCAGAUGUUGCAGCAUCUGCAUCUGAGGUUGAGAAGACACUCAAUCUACCUGCCAAUCCUCAUC